rnacentral:tRNA from 1 species
GUGAACAUAGUUUAACUAAAACUCUAGAUUGUGAUUCUAGCAAUAAAGGUUAAAAUCCUUUUGUACACC